GGAUAACCAAAUAGCGUUCAUUGCCUCUGGAACACUACAAAGCAUUCGAAAUCUUGGCCAUCUAGAUUUGUCUGAUAAUCGAUUGACAUCAAUUGAAUAUGGGAUGUUUAGUGGCCUGAACAGGCUCACAACAUUGCUGAUAGCAAGAAACAGAAUAAAAGAAAUUGCCCCUCGUUCAUUCACAGGAUUGGUCAGACUAAUGCGUCUGAAUUUGCAAAAGAACAACUUGAGUAUGAUUGGAAACUUAACAUUUUAUGGUCCACACAGAUGGUUG